UUUCAUGAAAUAAAAAGAAGUUGUGAUAGCCCAGUAGUUAAGAGGUCGGCCUUCUAUACGGGAGGUCUGGGGUU